AUAACAAUUUGUGAUGCUUUAGGGAGCCUAUUGUUUGAUGGUUUAUAGGAGCCAGAUUUGUCUUUUUGACUAAAUUUCAACCUAUUCUUACUUCCAAAACUGUUGCAAUGGCUCUCGUUUUUGUUAAAAUUUUCUCUUUUCUCUUCUUUGGCAUAGUUUAUUUUUGAUAAAUUAUUUCAGGGUGAGAUAGAGAAAAGGAUAAUGAGUAUCGUAGAUAAAUCUUCGGUUCCGAAUAGUGUAACUGUUGGUGCUGAGGUAAUCCAUCUUUAAAACCAUCGCCGUUAGAGGUUGCUUCUGAUAUUUUCGGUUAAGCGACCCAUGAAAUGGUGAUGACCUGAGGUAUGGAACAUCU
rnacentral:snoRNA from 1 species